rnacentral:rRNA from 1 species
CAAAUGAAUUGACGGGGACCCGCACAAGCGGUGGAUGAUGUGGAUUAAUUCGAUGCAACGCGAAAACCUUACCUACCCUUGACAUGUCCGGAAUCCCGAAGAGAUUUGGGAGUGCUCGCAAGAGAACCGGAACACAGGUGCUGCAUGGCUGUCGUCAGCUCGUGUCGUGAGAUGUUGGGUUAAGUCCCGCAACGAGCGCAACCCUUGUCAUUAGUUGCCAUCAUUUGGUUGGGCACUCUAAUGAGACUGCCGGUGACAAACCGGAGGAAGGUGGGGAUGACGUCAAGUCCUCAUGGCCCUUAUGGGUAGGGCUUCACACGUCAUACAAUGGUCGGUACAGAGGGUUGCCAACCCGCGAGGGGGAGCUAAUCCCACAAAGCCGAUCGUAGUCCGGAUCGUAGUCUGCAACUCGACUGCGUGAAGUCGGAAUCGCUAGUAAUCGUGGAUCAGCAUGUCACGGUGAAUACGUUCCCGGGUCUU